rnacentral:rRNA from 1 species
UACGAAGGGAGCUAGCGUUGUUCGGAAUCACUGGGCGUAAAGCGCACGUAGGCGGAUGUGUCAGUCAGGGGUGAAAUCCCGGAGCUCAACUUCGGAACUGCCUUUGAUACAGCACGUCUUGAGUCCGGAAGAGGUGGGUGGAAUUCCUAGUGUAGAGGUGAAAUUCGUAGAUAUUAGGAAGAACACCGGUGGCGAAGGCGGCCCACUGGUCCGGUACUGACGCUGAGGCACGAAAGCGUGGGGAGCAAACAGG